rnacentral:rRNA from 1 species
UACGAAGGGGGCUAGCGUUGUUCGGAUUUACUGGGCGUAAAGCGCACGUAGGCGGACUAUUAAGUCAGGGGUGAAAUCCUGGAGCUCAACUCCAGAACUGCCUUUGAUACUGAAGAUCUUGAGUUCGGGAGAGGUGAGUGGAACUGCGAGUGUAGAGGUGAAAUUCGUAGAUAUUCGGAGGAACACCAGUGGCGAAGGCGGCUCACUGGUCCAUUACUGACGCUGAGGUGCGAAAGCGUGGGGAGCAAACAGG